AGCUUUAUAGUCAAUAUAUGAUAUUAGAUUGCAAAUCUAAAGUAACAGAAUUGUUAAAGCUU
rnacentral:tRNA from 2 species